rnacentral:rRNA from 1 species
UACGGAGGGUGCAAGCGUUAUCCGGAUUCACUGGGUUUAAAGGGUGUGUAGGCGGAUAUUUAAGUCAGUGGUGAAAUCUCCGGGCUCAACCCGGAAACUGCCAUUGAUACUAUUUAUCUUGAAUCUUGUUGAGGUAGGCGGAAUAUAUCAUGUAGCGGUGAAAUGCUUAGAUAUGAUAUAGAACACCGAUUGCGAAGGCAGCUUACUAAACAAGCAUUGACGCUGAGGCACGAAAGCGUGGGGAUCAAACAGG